rnacentral:rRNA from 1 species
GCUUACGGCCAUACCAACCUGCUAUGCCCGAUCUCGUCUGAUCUCGGAAGCUAAGUAGGGUCGGUCCUGGUUAGUACUUGGAUGGGAGACCGCCUGGGAAUACCAGGUGCUGUAAGCUU